rnacentral:rRNA from 1 species
GCGAACGGUUGGCCUGCUGCAGAUGUAAUACAUGGGGUGCAAUCGGUGUUCGGAAUUAUUGGGAGUAAAGGGAGUGUAGGGUGCUGUUUAAGUCUUCUGUGAAAUCUACGGGCUCAGCCUGUAACGUGCAGAGGAAACUGGCGAGCUGGAGUGUCGGAGAGGAUAGGGGAAUACCCGGUGUAGAGGUGAAAUUCGUAGAGAUCGGGUGGAACACCAGUGGCGAAGGCGCCUAUCUGGCUGACAACUGACGCUGAGACUCGAAAGCAUGGGGAGCAAACAGGAUUAGAUACCCGGGUAGUC